rnacentral:tRNA from 1 species
GAUGUUGUGGCUCACAUUGUAGAGCACAUGCCUAGUAAAUGUAAGGUCCUGAGUUCAAAUCUCAGCACCACCA